rnacentral:rRNA from 1 species
UACGUAGGUGGCGAGCGUUGUCCGGAUUUAUUGGGCGUAAAGCGCGCGCAGGCGGUCGCGUAAGUCUGCUGUGAAAUCUCCCUGGCUCAACCGGGAGGGGGCGGCGGAGACUGCGGGACUGGAGGGACCUAGAGGCCGGUGGAAUUCCCGGAGUAGUGGUGAAAUGCGUAGAGAUCGGGAGGAACACCGGUGGCGAAGGCGGGUCUCUGGGCAGUAACUGACGCUCAUGCACGACAGCGUGGGGAUCAAACAGG